CGGGAUGCUAGUCAUCUCGGUGAUGCACUUAACAGAUUAAGUGUUCCGCCUGGGGAGUACGGUCGCAAGAUUAAAACUCAAAGGAAUAGACGGGGACCCGCACAAGUGGUGGAGCAUGUGGUUUAAUUCGAAGAUACGCGAAGAACCUUACCUAGCCUUGACAUUGAAGAAACACUUUAGAGAUAGAGUGGUGCCCUUCGGGGAAUCUGAAAACAGGUGCUGCACGGCUGUCGUCAGCUCGUGUCGUGAGAUGUUGGGUUAAGUCCCGCAACGAGCGCAACCCUCGUCCUUAGUUGCUAGCAGUUCGGCUGAGCACUCUAAGGAGACUGCCUUCGCAAGGAGGAGGAAGGUGAGGACGACGUCAAGUCAUCAUGGCCCUUAUGGCUAGGGCUACACACGUGCUACAAUGGGGCGUACAGAGUGUUGCGAUACCGCGAGGUGGAGCUAAUCACUUAAAGCGUCUCUCAGUUCGGAUAGCAGUCUGCAACUCGACUGCUUGAAGCUGGAAUCACUAGUAAUCGUAGAUCAGCAAUGCUACGGUGAAUACGUUCCCGGGUCUUGUACUCACCGCCCGUCACACCAUGGGAGUUGAUUUCACCCGAAAUCGGGAAGCCAACCUUCGGGGGGCUACCGCUUACGGUGGAAUUAGCGACUGGGGUGAAGUCGUAACAAGGUA
rnacentral:rRNA from 1 species